AGGACGAACGCUGGCGGCGUGCUUAACACAUGCAAGUCGAACGGUGACGGAGGAGCUUGCUCCUCCUGAUCAGUGGCGAACGGGUGAGUAACACGUGAGUAACCUGCCCCAGACUCUGGAAUAACCCCGGGAAACCGGAGCUAAUACCGGAUACGAGACGGAGUCGCAUGGCUACCGUCUGGAAAGUUUUUCGGUCUGGGAUGGACUCGCGGCCUAUCAGCUUGUUGGUGAGGUAACAGCUCACCAAGGCGACGACGGGUAGCCGGCCUGAGAGGGCGAUCGGCCACACUGGGACUGAGACACGGCCCAGACUCCUACGGGAGGCAGCAGUGGGGAAUAUUGCACAAUGGGCGAAAGCCUGAUGCAGCGACGCCGCGUGAGGGAUGGAACGCCUUCGGGUUGUAAACCUCUUUCAGCAGGGAAGAAGCGAAAGUGACGGUACCUGCAGAAGAAGCACCGGCUAACUACGCGCCAGCAGCCGCGGU
rnacentral:rRNA from 1 species